AUUGAACGCUGGCGGCAUGCCUUACACAUGCAAGUCGAACGGUAACAGGUCUUCGGAUGCUGACGAGUGGCGAACGGGUGAGUAAUACAUCGGAACGUGCCUAGUAGUGGGGGAUAACGUAGCGAAAGUUACGCUAAUACCGCAUAUUCUGUGAGCAGGAAAGCAGGGGAUCUUCGGACCUUGCGCUGAUGGAGCGGCCGAUGUCAGAUUAGCUAGUUGGUGGGGUAAAAGCCUACCAAGGCGACGAUCAGUAGCGGGUCUUAGAGGACGAUCCGCCACACUGGAACUGAGACACGGUCCAGACUCCUACGGGAGGCAGCAGUGGGGAAUCUUGGACAAUGGGCGAAAGCCUGAUCCAGCAAUGCCGCGUGCGUGAAGAAGGCCUUCGGGUUGUAAAGCGCUUUUGUCUGGGAGCAAAUCCUGGCCUCUAAUACAGGUCGGGGAUGAGAGUACCAGAAGAAUAAGGACCGGCUAACUACGUGCCAGCCGCCGCCGUAAAAC
rnacentral:rRNA from 1 species